UUUUGUUUAUACCGUCGCUUGUGUUGGUGUCAUUUCGUAAGCGAAAGCUCGUUUAGCACGUAUUUAAAAGAAUUAAAAUUAAAAACUGAUUGGUGUAGGCGAUAUAAAAGAACAGGCGGAACGCUACCGCACGUACAUAUACCAAUGUAAAUAGAUAUGUAUGUAUGUCAUUGCAAAGUAAAAAAAUUGUCUUCAGUGCGUGAAGUACGAGUUUAAUUACUACCCAACUUCAACGGUUCGUCUAUUGCUGGUCGUUUUUGAUUCGGGUCUGACAGCUUAAUGGUCGGGAAUAGAACGACGCGUGGACAUGUACCAGCCAACUUUCCAGCCAUCAGUCGAUCCGAGAAAAGAAAAGCUCAAGAAAAUCAUGCCUAUAUUUCCCUGAUAAAUCGCAUACAAACCACUCAAAGCGUGUUCUGCCUUGCCGAUCGGCGGGGUGCCUGCCAGGCAAACGAAAUUUAGUUAAAUUCGCAACACAUCAAGGGCACAUAGGGCAGAACGGUGGCGGGGCGACUGCGACGGCGGCGCGAGAUGGAAAACUAUAAUUGUAUUGCAUAUGUUCUCGUGCAUGUUGAUGUGUCCGUCUUUGUUCGUGUGGAUUUGUUCUAAGCCGUAUUUUUUGAUAUUGUGCAUACUGUUCCCGCGCGCCUCUUGGCACACUCAUUUUUUUCUAUUUUUUCCGUGUACGUAUACGACAGUUUUUAAAGAAGUGCAAAAUGGUUGCAGGUCGGCUACUGCCCAACUGUUGCACUCAUCGCUUUUGCAAUCCAAACGAAACCGAAAUUAAACCAAACAAAAUCUCCCCCAAAAUAGUGUACUCCUUUUAGCGAUAUGCUUCUACUGAAUAAUCAUUUUAUCAAAUAUGUACGUAGCUGUAUGUAGCUGCUUUUACCCUUCGAUUUAUAUUCCAUUCAAUAGCAUAGACAUUACACGACGUUCGCGGAGCAAUAAUUAAAUACAGAUGUAUGUAUGUAUGUAUAUACACUUAUAGAUAUGUAGUCAAGCUUCAAACGGGAAAGGAACAGACAGCGACACCUGUAAUCACAUAAUACUGUGAAAAAAUAGCAAGAAAAAUAGCCAUGAAAACUUGCAAAUCUUAAUGUUAUACAUGAUUUCCAAGUGGUAUUAAAUUACAAAAGCAACAAAUCAAAACAAAAACAAGAGGCAUAUCAAGUGGCUUCACAGACAGUCGAACCUUUUUGUAUACUGGUGAUCUCGACAUCGUAAUCGCAAUCGUAAUCGCAAUCGUAAUCGUAAUCGUCAUCGUGGCCGCAGUCUGUGUCUCCAGCUUGCUACAAGCGUUAGUAUAGGAGCGACAAGAACACAAGGAACUAAUGAAAUAACUAAUUGAAAGGAGUCCAUCCAAACUCGAAAAGUUCCCUCAAGAAGGGUUCAUGAGAUUCGGAGUCAUUUUCACCAAGUCAGUGCGGUACGGCAGUGCCUACGCCGACGGCAAAUGGUCAAAGCAAACGACAAAGUUUUGAUUCUAUGUGCUGGUUUUUGGAUGCCGCUGCCAACCCACGGUUUUGACUGUUCUACUAUUUUACUUUUGUGCACGGCAGUAACUUUUGUGUUUCUUCAUCGAAAGCGUAAAGUGAUACAAAACAAAUACAAAGAAGAAUCAAGGUACUGGUAGAUGCGACAACGACCUUGGAUUGAAAGCCGACGCCAAUGAAGGUUUUUAGUGAGAAUUCAUGUAAUGUGUAAUCAAUUAAUUGAGUAAAUCCGCCUGAAUACUUACUCAGUUAAAUGAAAGCGGCGUCAAGAGCCAUAUGGGUCUCAACAUAAGCUGGAAAAACUAAAAUUGCAAUAAAAUCCAGAAAUUGAAUCCACUUAAUUGAAUCCACGCCAACAUCAUGGACUGUGAUUACUCAAAAUUCUUGUACAAAAGCACUAUGUGAGCGAAAAUGAUACAGACUCAUUGCUCUGGAGAGAUAUACCGGAACGAUCCAAUCCGACCAAACGAAGCUUCGACUGAAGCCGUCGUCAAGAAUUAAAUGCAAGCCCCGUGGAACAAAAUUCAUUGCCGAAAGUAAA
rnacentral:sRNA from 15 species